CUCUUAUCCAGAGAGGUGGAGGGACCGGCCCUUUGAAACCUCGGCAACCUCGGGCGGAGCGGGUCGUACAUUAGGCGGCUCAGCUCCUACGGAAGGUGCCAAUUCCGGCAGAGCCCUGCGGGGAAAUCUCUGAAAGAUGAGAA
rnacentral:ncRNA from 2 species